AUUCCCUGGGGCUCCUGUUAAAAUGCAGAUUCUGAUUCAGUAGCUCUAAGGUGGGCCCUGAGAUUCUGCAUUUCUAACAAGCUCCCAGGCAAUGCCGU
rnacentral:pre_miRNA from 1 species